rnacentral:rRNA from 1 species
AGAGUUUGAUCCUGGCUCAGAGCGAACGCUGGCGGCAGGCCUAACACAUGCAAGUCGAGCGCUCCGCAAGGGGAGCGGCAGACGGGAGAGUAACACGUGGGAACGUACCCUUCAGUUCGGAACAACCCAGGGAAACUUGGGCUAAUACCGAAUACGUCCGUAAGGAGAAAGAUUUAUCGCUGAAGGAUCGGCCCGCGUCUGAUUAGCUUGUUGGUGAGGUAACGGCUCACCAAGGCGACGAUCUGUAGCUGGUCUGAGAGGACGACCAGCCACACUGGGACUGAGACACGGCCCAGACUCCUACGGGAGGCAGCAGUGGGGAAUUUUGGACAAUGGGGGAAACCCUGAUCCAGCAAUGCCGCGUGUGUGAAGAAGGCCUUCGGGUUGUAAAGCACUUUUGUCCGGAAAGAAAACUUCUGCCCUAAUACGGCGGGAGGA